AACGCGAAGAACCUAACCUGGGCUUGACAUAUAGGGAAAACCCGUGGAAACAUGGGUUUCCUUGGGAGGUCAUCAGGGGGGGCAUGGGUGUCGUCUCUCCCGUCGUGAGAUGUGUGGUUAAGUCCCCCAACGAGAGCAACCCCCCUCCUAUGUUUUCCCUGGGUAAUGCCGGGGACUCAUAGGAGACUGCCGGGGUCAAAUCGGAGGAAGGUGGGGAUGACGUCAAAUCAUCAUGCCCCUUAUGUCUAGGGCUGCACACAUGCUACAAUGGCCGGUACAAAGGGCUGCGAUACCGCAAGGUGGAGCGAAUCCCAAAAAGCCCGCCUCAGUUCGGAUUGGGGUCUGCAACUCGACCCCAUGAAGGCGGAGUCGCUAGUAAUCGCAGAUCAGCAACGCUGCGGUGAAUACGUUCCCGGGUCUUGUACACACCG
rnacentral:rRNA from 1 species